rnacentral:rRNA from 1 species
GACAGAGGGUGCAAACGUUGUUCGGAAUUACUGGGCGUAAAGCGCGUGUAGGCUGCUCCAAAAGUCGGAUGUGAAAGCCUUGGGCUCAACCUAGGAAGUGCAUUCGAUACUGUGGAGCUGGAGUCCUGGAGAGGAAGGCGGAAUUCUCGGUGUAGAGGUGAAAUUCGUAGAUAUCGAGAGGAACACCGGUGGCGAAGGCGGCCUUCUGGACAGUGACUGACGCUGAGACGCGAAAGCGUGGGGAG